AUGUCGGCCAUGGAGACGGACGCCCCCGACGCCGCCCCGCCCCCCGCCGCCGACGCCGCGGCCUCCUCCUCCUCGUCCCGCAAGCCGGGCAAGCGCUUCGAGAUCAAGAAGUGGAACGCCGUCGCGCUGUGGGCGUGGGACAUCGUGGUGGACAACUGCGCCAUCUGCCGCAACCACAUCAUGGAUCUAUGCAUCGAGUGCCAGGCCAACCAGGCCAGCGCCACCAGCGAGGAGUGCACCGUCGCAUGGGGUGUCUGCAAUCAUGCUUUCCACUUCCACUGCAUCAGCAGGUGGCUCAAGACUCGCCAAGUGUGCCCACUAGACAACAGCGAAUGGGAGUUCCAGAAAUACGGCCACUAG
rnacentral:rRNA from 1 species